rnacentral:rRNA from 1 species
CGAUGGCGCGGCUACCAUGCAGUCGAGCGGAACGAGUUAUCUGAACCUUCGGGGGACGAUGACGGCGUCGAGCGGCGGACGGGUGAGUAAUGCCUAGGAAAUUGCCCUGAUGUGGGGGAUAACCAUUGGAAACGAUGGCUAAUACCGCAUGAUGCCUACGGGCCAAAGAGGGGGACCUUCGGGCCUCUCGCGUCAGGAUAUGCCUAGGUGGGAUUAGCUAGUUGGUGAGGUAAGGGCUCACCAAGGCGACGAUCCCUAGCUGGUCUGAGAGGAUGAUCAGCCACACUGGAACUGAGACACGGUCCAGACUACUACGGGAGGCAGCAGUGGGGAAUAUUGCACAAUGGGCGCAAGCCUGAUGCAGCCAUGCCGCGUGUGUGAAGAAGGCCUUCGGGUUGUAAAGCACUUUCAGUCGUGAGGAAGGUAGUGUAGUUAAUAGCUGCAUUAUUUGACGUUAGCGACAGAAGAAGCACCGGCUAACUCCGUGCCAGCAGCCGCGGUAAUACGGAGGGUGCGAGCGUUAAUCGGAAUUACUGGGCGUAAAGCGCAUGCAGGUGGUUUGUUAAGUCAGAUGUGAAAGCCCGGGGCUCAACCUCGGAAUAGCAUUUGAAACUGGCAGACUAGAGUACUGUAGAGGGGGGUAGAAUUUCAGGUGUAGCGGUGAAAUGCGUAGAGAUCUGAAGGAAUACCGGUGGCGAAGGCGGCCCCCUGGACAGAUACUGACACUCAGAUGCGAAAGCGUGGGGAGCAAACAGGAUUAGAUACCCUGGUAGUCCACGCCGUAAACGAUGUCUACUUGGAGGUUGUGGCCUUGAGCCGUGGCUUUCGGAGCUAACGCGUUAAGUAGACCGCCUGGGGAGUACGGUCGCAAGAUUAAAACUCAAAUGAAUUGACGGGGGCCCGCACAAGCGGUGGAGCAUGUGGUUUAAUUCGAUGCAACGCGAAGAACCCUUACCUAC